AUCCAUAUCCACCCCAGGCCUGGCCCAGGUUGUUGGAAAUGAGACCACUGGGAAUCUGAUAAGGGACCCAAGGGUAGCGCCCCUUCGGGACCCUGAAUAACUGGGUCCCCGCUGGCGGGGACAAGUGGCGCCUGAACAGGGACCCCGAAGUACGGCCAACUACCGGACGACGGAGACAGGAGAUCCAUGGAGAGAUUGAGGACUCUUCAGGCUGCAUCGCUCCUGCAUCGCUGGAGAGGGAGGUAAGACCGGUCGAGUAAGUGUCGUCCCAUCGCCGUGGGGAAGGUAUUGUCUAAGGAGGCUUGAUUCAUAGGAGAGAUCAAGCGCUCAUUCAGGGAGAGAGGAAAGAGUUAAGAAAAAGGAUUUAAUCAAUUUUUUUUGUUUUGUUGAUGAAAAGUGUCCUUGAGGUAAGAUGGGCUAGAAAAGGCCUUGAUGAUUUGGGCUAGCGUAAGUAAAACUUGUAAUAAAAAAGGGACAAGGUAAUGGUAAAGUAUUUUUGUGUAUGCGUUCUUUUAGAGUUAUGUUUUAGUCUUUGGACCCUGACUAGAGAUAGUUUACACCCUAGACAUGAGAGAGAAUGGGUUUGGGAAAAACAGUCCUCCCGGACUCUCCGCAGAUGCUUUGGAGAAAGAGAAAAACCUUUUCAGAGCUCUCUUAGGAACAGAGGGAAAGCAGACGUCCUGCCUCUCUGCUGGUUCCUAUUGGAGAAAUGCUUAUUUCUGGUUCUGGGUUCCAUAGGUAGGAUAUGUGGGACACCAUCUAGUUUUUUCCCUCUAUGCCUAUUGUCUGUCCUUGGUGCACCAAGCCGUCCAUGUCUGUCAGUUUAUGUCUGUGGUUUUUGCUUCUCGUUGCUUGAAUGUUUUGUGUUUCAUGUUUAAAAGAAAAGGUUAAAAUUUUAAAUGCUGGUUGAUUCACCCAUUGAUGUAGUUUUAACUCCUUUCAAGAAAGGUACAAAUAAAAAGUUUCAAUUGGCUUUUGGAGCCUGCAUCUGUAGCUAGAAGCCUAAGUCCACUGGGCAAGCUCCCCAGGGGGCUGGCUAAAUGUUUACACUAGCCGAUCCUAAAGGCACUAGGAGCUUCACAGCUUCUAUGGUAAUGAAUCUGAUAGCUGUUUCUCUUAGAAAAAUCCCUGACUUAUUAUUUGACUUAGCAGGUGACAAGGUGCUUCUCUUAAUAUUACAGCUAGAAAAAGUAAAAAUGGUGCUUGGUCUAAAUAUUAAAGAUAUGUAUAGCCACUUCAAUUUUGUUUCUGAUUGGUUUUAAAUGUAUAAAUAUGCUCUACACGCUUUGGUUAUGUACUAUUGGCUUUUAAGUUAUUAGAUAUGGUUAAAAAGGUGUAACAUUGGUAACAGAAAGUUGGCUUAAAAUUGUAAUUUAGAUGAAGUCAUUCUAGAUAACAUGUGACAUGGGCCUGGUUGCCUUGUCACUGUUUGGCCUUAGCCUUAGAUUAUAGGAUCAAAAGCCUCUCCCUGUAAUUUACUGCACAAGAAGUUUACAUUCAUGGAAUGUUUUCAGCCGCAACAAGACCCUUCUGGGUCUCCAACAAGGUUUGACCCCUGCUGAGCCCUGCCCUUGCAUGUGGAAGCUUUUUGUUCCCAACUGGCAGUCUGGCCAGGUACUUCUCACCUGAGUCAGAAUUAGGCUGGCCUUCCUGGUUAUUUCCCUAAUUUAUUCAGGCCACAUAGUCUGUCCUUUGUUACCGAAGUCUCAGCCAGGGUUCCCCACUGUGCUUUGCAGAUACCUGCUAAGUGCUGUACUUUAGAUAUAUAGUUUGGUCCAUAAAGAAACCAGAGGCCUUUUCCUCUUCUGGCUUGACACAAAAAAAAAAA
ensembl:lncRNA